UCGCCUCUUGCAAAAACAAUGAAUAAGAGGUCCCGCCUGCCCUGUGACUUAAUGUUUAACGGCCGCGGUAUUUUGACCGUGCGAAGGUAGCGCAAUCACUUGUCUUUUAAAUGGAGACCUGUAUGAAUGGCACAACGAGGGCUUAACUGUCUCCUCUUUCCAGUCAAUGAAAUUGAUCUCCCCGUGCAGAAGCGGGGAUCUGCGCAUAAGACGAGAAGACCCUAUGGAGCUUUAGACACCAAGGCGAACCAUGUUAAACACCCCUAGAUAAAGGGCCAAACCAGGUGGAACCCGCCCUAAUGUCUUUGGUUGGGGCGACCGCGGGGAAAUAUAAAACCCCCACGUGGAAUGGGAAUACCCCUCCUACUACCAAGAGCUCCCGCUCUAAUAAACAGAAUUUCUGACCAAUCAGAUCCGGCAACGCCGAUCAACGGACCGAGUUACCCUAGGGAUAACAGCGCAAUCCCCUUUUAGAGCCCAUAUCGACAAGGGGGUUUACGACCUCGAUGUUGGAUCAGGACAUCCUAAUGGUGCAGCCGCUAUUAAGGGUUCGUUUGUUCAACGAUUAAAG
rnacentral:rRNA from 1 species